rnacentral:rRNA from 1 species
AUUCCUACGGGAGGCAGCAGUGGGGAAUAUUGCACAAUGGGCGCAAGCCUGAUGCAGCCAUGCCGCGUGUGUGAAGAAGGCCUUCGGGUUGUAAAGCACUUUCAGCGGGGAGGAAGGGUCACUAGUUAAUACCUAGUGGCAUUGACGUUACUCGCAGAAGAAGCACCGGCUAACUCCGUGCCAGCAGCCGCGGUAAUAAU